AUUGAACGCUGGCGGCAUGCCUUACACAUGCAAGUCGAACGGCAGCACGGGGCAACCUGGUGGCGAGUGGCGAACGGGUGAGUAAUGCAUCGGAACGUGCCAUUGAGUGGGGGAUAACGUAGCGAAAGUUGCGCUAAUACCGCAUAUUCUGUGAGCAGGAAAGCAGGGGGACCGCAAGGCCUUGCGCUCUUUGAGCGGCCGAUGUCAGAUUAGCUAGUUGGUGAGGUAACGGCUUACCAAGGCGACGAUCUGUAGCGGGUCUGAGAGGAUGAUCCGCCACACUGGAACUGAGACACGGUCCAGACUCCUACGGGAGGCAGCAGUGGGGAAUUUUGGACAAUGGGCGCAAGCCUGAUCCAGCCAUGCCGCGUGAGUGAAGAAGGCC
rnacentral:rRNA from 1 species